ensembl:lncRNA
UCAAAGUGUACCUGCCAGGGGGUUGCCUAAAUUUCUCUUGAAAGCUUCCAGGGUUGGAGAGUUCACUACCUCUCAAGGUUAUGGGUUCCCUUGUCGUACUGUUCUAACCAUCAGGAAGUUUUUUUUCCUUCCUGAUUUUCAACCCAAAUCUGGCCUCCUGUAACUUGAGAAGCAACAUCCCAGACUGAAAAUGGUUUGUUUCAUUCUGAACAAUCAGUAUGGCGUGUGCAUCUAGAGGAUCUUUACAACUCAUACAAUUUGUGUGAAUAAACUUGAUAAGAAAUGGUGUGUGUGUGAAUCUUUUCUUCUUCUUCUUCUUCUUCUUCUUCUUCUUCUUCUUCUUCUUCUUCUUCUUCUUCCUCUUCCUCCCAGGAUAUAAAUCAAAUAAAUAAAUAAAUAAAUAAAAUAGAUAAAGACAGAUGGCUUCCUGUCUGAUCUAGAGGAAGAACAUUUACUGAAGGGAGCACAUCUCUGUGUAUCUCGCUCUGUGCCCCAUCGUUUGGCUCAGGCGGGUGAGAAAACUACCCUCCCCAGAAUCAUGACAGGAAAUGAUGCAGUAUGCUUGAUCAAGAAGGCUGUCGUUCCCGGCUCAGAGGCAGACGUCCAGCGCAUUUUGCCUGUGAAGUCUCUUGGCAGGCAGCUGCCUCUCCUGAGCCGUAAAGAAGGACACUGUGAUUCCAUCUGAAUGUCAGCCAUGAAAGUCCUUUACUGCCUUUCUGUUGUGAUCUUCUUACUUCAGGCUGUUCAAGGUGAGUGCAGGUCAGAUAUAAACACAUAUGCAGAGGACUUCCACUGCUUUUUUUGAGAAUGAUACUGGAUGUUGACUUACUACGAGUCAAAAACCUGUCCCACACAUUUGAGAGCUCAUGGGAUUAUAAAUCUGGGGCUUGGCAUGACAUUGAUAUGAGCAGACACACAACUGAAGGAGUGUGAACUAUGUAAACAGAGCCAUCAAAUGCAUGGGGAGGCUGAACCAAGAUGCUGUCCUCCACUUUAUUCGAACCAUUUGUUGGGUGGACUGCUGGGAGGUCAAAGUUAAGGCAGUGCAGGUGGUGAACCGGUCACCACCAUAGUGACAUUUCCCCAGGCUAGACCACUGCCCUGAAGAUUCCUCAUAAUUAUCUGCCCCUAUUCAUCCCUAGACGUUUGUUCCUCUUCUAACAUAUGUUUGCAAGGAGAGGAUCUCAGGGUUUGGGAUGCUCCAGCCGGAAAGGGUGAUGGUCAGUAUCCCAGCUUUAUUCUACUGUCACUGCAUAACAACUCCAUUCACCAGUUACACCUGAGGAAGGAGGCUUGUGUCAUGCAAUGUUGUUACGUUGCUGUCAAGACACUUUCAAAUUAAUGGUGAUCCUGGUAGGGUUUUUGAAGUAUGAGACUCUCAAGGGUUGGUUUCCUACUGCCACUCACCCAAGAGAGGUUCCGUAACUGGGCAAGGAUUUGAAGCUUAGUUUCCUGAGCCUUUUGUCCGACACUCUGCCCACACCGGCAGGAUUGCUCUCAUUCAAAUAUUACUCCUUGACUUUGGUUCUCCACUCUAAAUGUUCUUCUGCAUCAGGGUUGACAACCUCUUGAGAUCCAGGGGCAGCACAUGGUACCCUGUCUCACAAAUGGGUUUUCUUUUUUAAAAAAAACUGUGGGGGCUUUUUAAGCUCUCUAGUGGCCCAACAUUUGCUUUUAAAUUAAUU